rnacentral:rRNA from 1 species
UACGGAGGGUGCGAGCGUUAAUCGGAAUUACUGGGCGUAAAGCGCAUGCAGGUGGUUUGUUAAGUCAGAUGUGAAAGCCCGGGGCUCAACCUCGGAAUUGCAUUUGAAACUGGCAGACUAGAGUACUGUAGAGGGGGGUAGAAUUUCAGGUGUAGCGGUGAAAUGCGUAGAUAUCUGGAGGAACAUCAGUGGCGAAGGCGGCCCCCUGGACAGAUACUGACACUCAGAUGCGAAGGCAUGGGUAGCAAACGGG